GAGAAAAAGUAUUCUGUUCUUUUAAUUAAAUGUAAAUGUUUCCAGAUUUAGGCUUUUAAUCAAGAGUUUGAAUGCAGUUUAUUAUAAAACUGAGCAUUUUGAAUAUGCAGAAAUCAAACACUUUUCAAACCUUGAGAACACCUGAUUGAAAUUCAAGCAUUUUCAAGGAUUUUAAGCAUCUGAAUUGUACCAAUCUUGUAAAAUAGGUCCUUUAAUGUUUAAAAUCACAGUGAAAGACUCAAACACAGCUGGUUAAGUCAUGCAAUUUUCAGAAAUAGAAGAUUAGAAAAUACUUUCUCAGUAUGUUUCAUACGUACUCCGACUUGUGCGUAUAAAAAACGUUAUGUCUGCGACUAACAAGAGAUUUCUCUUAAAAUAAAGAGGCAGCAGCCCAGCGGUAAGUGCAUGAACAGAAAACCACAGGCCAGACCAGGACUGUGUGAGUAAUUCACUGGCAGCUCACUUGCUUCAAAUCAAAAGAAACAAUUUCACCUUGAAGUCUUGAGGACAUGAUUUACCUCAGCAGCUAGCAGCUUUUCAUCAAACUCUCAAGUGAAAACGCCUGAAUUAGUGGUUGGAUAAAUCAUGUUCAAGCAGCAGCUGAACAUUAGUCUGUGAUGCUGUGCAGGAAGAACAUCACAUCAUUUCACAGUAAUCAGUUACAGAAUUGCGCACAUAAAUUCAUUUAUGAACUUUAAUUGAUGAAAUAGGACCAGAAAAUGCAUGGAUGGAUAAUCUGAAAAGUGUGGCCUUUAAGUUAUUUCUCUGACUAUUCUUCUUCUUGCCUGGCUUGUCAGUCAGUACUACUGGUGGUCUGUAAGGCACUGCAUGUAAAAAGCCAUUUAUUUGCCGUGACGUUAGCUCAAAGUGCUACGCUGCAGCUAGCUUACCAAAGGACUGUGUUUAAAAAUAAUAAUGUAUAAAUGGCUUAAAACCAGAUCACAAAAAUGAAAGCCUGAAGAUACAGGAGGAAAGUUUCUCAGGGUGAGUUGAAGAACUUUUAUUUUUGAACAUUAUUACAAUAUGUAGCAGAUUUCUGUGCUGAGUACCAUCUAAAGAGGGGGUGAGCAGCGCUGCGCCCCAUCCUGACUAACUGCAUCUAAACACCUAAAAUAAAAUUCACAUUUUCCACAUUUUUAUACUUCCAUUUGGGUUUUUACUGCUUCAAAAAAUAGCCUAAGCACUUUAAAACAAAACAAAACACCCAGAUGUUUCUUGGCAGCAAAUUAAUGACUUUUGGUGUCUAGAAAACGAGCCAUUUCAAAAACCUCCCGAAUUUACUGUCACAAAUCAGCAGGCACUGACCUUUCACCUACUAACCCCAGAGAAGCCAGCCUGUUACCUAGCAACCCCAGCUGAACUCCGUCCUUAUCUAGCAACCCAAACAGAACUCCAGCUAAAAUCACAUGAUCUAAGAAUUAUAUUAUAUUAUAUAUAUAUUAUAUUAUUACAUAAUUAUAUUAUGAACAAAAUGUAUUGAGCAUGUUUUGUACAGUCCACAGAUCUAUCCUAACCUGUUCAAGAAAGAAUAAUAAGUCAUC